UGCCAGCCGCCGCGGUAAUACGUAGGUGGCAAGCGUUAUCCGGAAUUAUUGGGCGUAAAGCGCACGCAGGCGGAAUGGCGCGUGGGGUGUGAAAGCUGGCGGCUUAACUGCCAGUCGCCAUCCCAUACGGCCAUUCUGGAGCCUUGCAGAGGGCAGUGGAAUUGCCGGUGUAGUGGUGAAAUGCGUAGAGAUCGGCAGGGACACCCAGGGGGAAACCAGCUGCCUGGGCAAGCGCUGACGCUGAGGUGCGAGAGCGUGGGGAGCGAACCGGAUUAGAUA
rnacentral:rRNA from 1 species